UAGCACAUUUAACGCCCAAGUGUGCUCUGUAGUUCCCUUGGCCUUGACUCUUCUAGAAUACUGUCUGUUCUUUUCCUCUGCAUUGAAAGGAGUACUGUGUCCUUUUAAAUGUAUUCAGAAAAUCAGCACACCA